UACGUAGGGCGCAAGCGUUGUCCGGAAUUAUUGGGCGUAAAGAGCUCGUAGGCGGCUUGUCACGUCGGUUGUGAAAGCCCGGGGCUUAACCCCGGGUCUGCAGUCGAUACGGGCAGGCUAGAGUUCGGUAGGGGAGAUCGGAAUUCCUGGUGUAGCGGUGAAAUGCGCAGAUAUCAGGAGGAACACCGGUGGCGAAGGCGGAUCUCUGGGCCGACACUGACGCUGAGGCUCGAAAGCGUGGGGAGCGAACAGG
rnacentral:rRNA from 1 species